AUUGAACGCUGGCGGCAGGCCUAACACAUGCAAGUCGAACGAGUGGCGGACGGGUGAGUAAUGUCUGGGAAACUGCCUGAUGGCGGGGGAUAACUCCUGGAAACGGUAGCUAAUACCGCAUACCAUCAGAUGCACCCAGAUGGGAUUAGCUUGUUGGUGGGGUAACGGCUCACCAAGGCGCCGAUCCCUAGCUGGUAUGAAAGGAUGACCAGCCACCCUGGAACGGAGACACGGUCCAGACUCCUACGGGAAGCAGCAGUGGGGAAUAUUGCGCAAUGGGGGCGAGCCUUAUGCAGCCAUGCCGCGUGUAUGAAGAAGGCGUUCGGGGUGUGAAGUACUUUCAGCGGGGAGGCGUUACCCGCAGAAGAAGCACCGGCUAACUCCGUGCCAGCCGCCGCGGUAAUAC
rnacentral:rRNA from 1 species